rnacentral:rRNA from 1 species
GACGAACGCUGGCGGCGUGCUUAACACAUGCAAGUCGAACGGAAAGGCCCUGCUUUUGUGGGGUGCUCGAGUGGCGAACGGGUGAGUAACGCGUGAGUAACCUGCCCUUGACUUUGGUAUAACUUCAGGAAACUGGGGCUAAUACCGGAUAGGAGCUCCUGCUGCAUGGUGGGGGUUGGAAAGUUUCGGCGGUUGGGGAUGGACUCGCGGCUUAUCAGCUUGUUGGUGGGGUAGUGGCUUACCAAGGCUUUGACGGGUAGCCGGCCUGAGAGGGUGACCGGCCACAUUGGGACUGAGAUACGGCCCAGACUCCUACGGGAGGCAGCAGUGGGGAAUAUUGCACAAUGGGCGGAAGCCUGAUGCAGCAACGCCGCGUGCGGGAUGACGGCCUUCGGGUUGUAAACCGCUUUCGCCUGUGACGAAGCGUGAGUGACGGUAAUGGGUAAAGAAGCACCGGCUAACUACGUG